rnacentral:rRNA from 1 species
UACGGAGGGUGCAAGCGUUGCUCGGAAUUAUUGGGCGUAAAGGGUAGGUAGGUGGUCUCAUUUGUCUGGGGUGAAAGCCUUGAGCUUAACUCAAGAAGUGCCCCAGAAACGGUGAGACUGGAGUCCUGGAGAGGGUCGUGGAAUUCCCGGUGUAGCGGUGAAAUGCGUAGAGAUCGGGAGGAACACCAGAGGCGAAGGCAGUGUCCUGGGGAGUACCUGACGCUCAGGUGCGAAAGCCAGGGGAGCGAACGGG